UCGACGAUUUUCCGGUUGAUCCUGCCGGAAGAUACUGCUAUUCGGAUCCGACUAAGCCAUGCGAGUCGAGAGGGGUAAGCCCUCGGCGAACUGCUCAGUAAUAUGUAGCUAACCUACCCUUAGGUCGGGGAUAACCUCGGGAAACUGAGUUCAAUACCCGAUAGGAAUUUAGCUCUGGAAUGACUAAAUUCCCAAAGCUCCGGUGCCUAAGGAUGGGGCUACAUCUCAUCAGCCUGUUGGGGGUGUAACGAACCCUCAAAGCUAUAACGGGUACGGGCCGUGAGAGCGGAAGCCCGGAGAUGGAUUCUGAGACAUGAAUCCAGGUCCUACGGGACGCAGCAGGCGCGAAACCUUCGCAAUGUGCUAACGCACGACGAGGGGAUCCGAAGUGCUACAGCACUGCUGUAGCUUUUGUCGAGUCCAAACAGCUCGGCGAAUAAGGGGUGGGUAAGACAGGUGCCAGCCGCCGCGGUAAUACCUGCGCCCCAAGUGGUAUCCAGUAUUAUUGGGCCUAAAGCGUCCGUAGCCGGUCUGGCAAGUCUUCGGUGAAAUUCACUAGUAAACUAGUGAGCUUGUCGGAGAUACUGCCAGACUUGGGACCGGGAGAGGGUAGGGGUACUCCUAGGGGAGGGGUAAAAUCCUAUAAUCCUAGGGGGACCACCGGUGGCGAAGGCGCCUACCUAGAACGGUUCCGACGGUGAGGAACGAAAGCUAGGGGAGCGAUCGGGAUUAGAUACCCCGGUAGUCCUAGCCGUAAACGAUGCCCGCUUGGUGUUGCAAUCUUCUCGCGAGAUUGCAGUGCCGGAAUGUAGAUGUUAAGCGGGCCGCCUGGGGAGUACGGCCGCAAGGUUGAAACUUAAGGGAAUUGGCGGGGGAGCACACAAGGGGUGGAGGCUGCGGUUCAAUUGGAGUCAACGCCGGGG
rnacentral:rRNA from 1 species